GAUUUAUUUAUAUUUGACCAAAGAACAUCUUGAAAAUGUGUAUUUAGGUCUUUCUAAAAACCACAAUACUGUGUCAUAUAUGAAGAUGCCGAACAUUGCACCUGUCGCGCCAGGGAGUCUAACUGUUAUUUUGUCAACUCUGUUAUCAGGUGGAAACACAAUUUCACUGACGUAGGCUAUUUACUAGUCUGUAUAUACAUUAUGUAGCCAUGCAUUUAUAAACUAAUUGAAUAGUAAUAAUAAUGGAUUUAUUUCCGAUUUUCUGUCAAAUCCAUUGCUGGUCGUUCAAUUUGAACGGUUGGAUAAUUAAUUCAGUAUAUGGCAGUGUUUCUAUUGUGCGAUGAAUAAGGUCUUGUCAGUAUUGUAUGCAAUUCAUGUCACUAAUUAGUUAUUACACUAACAUUUAGUUUAUUUAUUGGCAUGCAGUACCAGGAUUUUCUGCAUUUAGUUUUCUAAUGUGACAGAAUGUCAUUGUUCAUGUUUUUUUUUUUUUUACAAAUGAUUUCCUACAGAAAAUGCAAAAAUGCCUACUCUGGUAGUUGUUCUUGAGGUCUAUUAUUAUUUGUUGUAUUCUCAGGAUUCUCUUUAAGCAAUUUGACAAUAUUUUCGGAUUUCUCAUGGAGUCACCACCUGGUGCCUAGGGUAUUUUAAUGGCCAACUCAGAAUGGUAUCUGACUAGAUUGGUCCCCAAGUCUUUAUGGAGAGGGAGAGUGAGACUUGUAUGUGAAGAUGUGUGAGUCCAACACUAAGGGUUCAGGGAUGGAAUGAGGACUGUGGAUGUGUGUUAGUGAAUGUGUUAGUGUUAGUGUUAGUGUUAGUGUUAGUGUUAGUGUUAGUGUUAGCGUGUGUGUGUGUGUGUGUGUGUGUGUGUGUGUGUGUGUGUGUGUGUGUGUGUGUGUGUGUGUGUGUGUGUGUGUGUGUGUGUGUGUGUGUGUGUGUGUGUGUGUGUGUGUGUCAAUGGAGGCUUGGGCGGUAGGCUUGGGCGGUAUACGGUAUAUACCGUAUACUGGCAAAUUUGGAAAAAGCCACAGGAUGGUUUUUCAAUACCGUCAAUACUGCUGUUGCAAAAUGUAACGAAAUGGGGAGGGACCUACCUGACUUUUUCCAAUAGAAACCCUUGUUUGGACUAGCGAUUACACCUCAGAUCAGCUACAUGCAGGCAAGAGUGUGCAAGGUAGUAUCGAAUGUGUCACUAGCUAGGUUUCUAUCUAAUUGGCGACAGAUUUUAAUGAAAAUCUUUUAAAUAUGCAUAAAGAAAAUAUGCCAUUUUUCCCACCAGUGGUGUGUUUCAACCAAAUGGACUUGUUGCAGAUUAAAAUCAUUGCGUGACGACCUAGUGCUCACGAAAGGUACUUUUUCGCUUAAGUUUUCAUGUAUCGAAUUAAAAACUAAAGUUCAAUGUGUUUCCAUUGCAUUUUCAACUCCACCUUUCGUUUUGUCACAAAAACUGUUAUAUAGAAAAUGUGCCUACUCUGGUCUUGGCACGUGCGCUCUAGCUAACAGCUAGCAGAUACAGUGCAGAUAGGCUGUGCUGGUAGGCUAGUCUACACGAUGAGAUUAUUAUGGAUAAGAGUGAGUAUAUUUAUUGGAAAGGAGCAUCAAGCUCAUCACCUUGCACAUUCACCAUCCUGUGAAGUUCAUCAUAAUUUAUUUAAUCUGUAGUCUAAUAAACUGCAAGCUUUCCCAAAUCGUAGUGGGAGGACCACGCAACAUGUGAUCACAUGACUCCCGAGUCGUAGUGGGAGGACCACGCAACAUGUGAUCACAUGACUCCCGAGUCGUAGUGGGAGGACCACGCAACAUGUGAUCACAUGACUCCCGAGUCGUAGUGGGAGGACCACGCAACAUGUGAUCACAUGACUCCCGAGUCGUAGUGGGAGGACCACGCAACAUGUGAUCACAUGACUCCCGAGUCGUAGUGGGAGGACCACGCAACAUGUGAUCACAUCACUCCCAAGUUUACUUCGAUAUGAUGGUUAUUAUAUCAAUAUUUGCACAUAAAGUUGUUUCCACCUCCAUUUCACACAUCAUUAAUUUUACAGACACAAAACGUCCCCACCAUGUCGAGCAAACAAAUGAUCUGUCUACAUUUAUAAAAUUGUAACAAAACUUCCAGUUUCCAUCACAGCUGUUUUGAUUUUUCUUUAUAGUGUAUAUGACCUUACUCACAUAAAAUGUGUGGAUGGAAAUGGGGUUACUGUCUGUAACUUUCAUUUGUCUCUCGACCUGUACACCUACGUUCUAAAAGUAUUUUUGUAGGCUAGGUUGUAUCAACUGUUGGACUGAUGAUUACACCCUAGAUCAGCUAGAUGCAGGCAAGCGUAGCCUAGUGGUUAGAGCGUUGGACUAGUAACCGGAAGGUUGCGAGUUCAAACCCCCGAGCUGACAAGGUACAAAUCUGUCGUUCUGCCCCUGAACAGGCAGUUAACCCACUGUUCCCAAGCCGUCAUUGAAAAUAAGAAUAUGUUCUUAACUGACUUGCCUGGUUAAAUAAAGGUAAAAUUUUAAAAAAAUUAAAGAGUGUGCAAGGUGGUAUUGAAUGUGUCACUGUCUGUGUGUGCACCCACAUUGUAAACUUUAAUUCAGAGGCUAAGUUGUAGCAACCUCAUGAGGGAUACAGAGCAAAUUCAAGUAUCAUGUUGUAGCCUGAACCUAUCUUUGUUUUAGUGAGCUGGGUGAAUGGAAUACAUUCUAUGACAGUUAUCCUAUAUGCUGUACUAGAAAUAAGGCCAUGCACAUAAAAAACAUGGUCCUCUCUAUUCGUGAGUGGCACUGACUGCCACUGGUGCGUGUGUAUGCGCGUACGCGUGUGUGUGUGUGUGUGUGUGUGUGUGUGUGUGUGUGUGUGUGUGUGUGUGUGUGUGUGUGUGUGUGUGUGUGUGUGUGUGUGUGUGUGUGUGUGUGUGUGUGUGUGUCUGACUGAGUGAGAGUGCUGUGCUGGUAUCCUGACAGGUUAUCUUUUAUAAUAUAUAGACUACAGGAGUAACACUUCAGGUAGAGAUGACGGAGAGUCAUGGUUAACACUUUACAUUGGCAUAUCACGUUAAACUAUAGUACCUUUACGAUUCCAUAAACUGUGUUUAUUAUUACAGGAUAAUUACAUAGGUUUUUCUACUGGUAGCUACUGUCGUAUAACACGGAACCCAAACCGGCUGUGUGCGUGCGCCAUUGUGCGCUAUUGUGCAUACAUUUAUUUAGUCCCCCUACACCAAACGCGAUCAUGACAUGCAGGUUAAAAUAUCAAAAUAUCAUAACCAAUUACAUUAAUUUGGGGACAGGUUGACAGGUUGAAAACCAUUAAACAUGUAUGGCAAUUUAACUAGUUAUCUUGCACUUUCUAGCUAAUGUGUCCUAUUUAGCUAGCUUGCUGUUGCUACCUAAUUUGUCCUGGGAUAUAAACAUUGAGUUGUUAUUUUACCUGAAAUGCACAACGUCCUCUACUCCGACCAUUAAUUCACACAUAAAACGGCCAACCGAAUCGUUUCUAGUCCUCUUUCCUCCUUCUAUGCUUUUUCAUCUUUGAAUUUAUAUGGUGAUUGGCAUCUAUACUUUCAUAGUAUUACCACAACAACCGGCAAAACAUUUUGUCUUUCAAUCACCCACGUGGGUAUAACCAAUGAGGAGAUGGCAUGUGGGUACCUGCUUCUAUAAACCAAUGAGGAGAUCGGAGAGGCAGGACUUUCAGCGCGAUCUGCGUCAGAAAUAGAAAGGAGUUCUAUUUUAUCCCUUGGCAACUCAGACACUCGUUGGCGCGAGCAGUGUGGUCGCAAUAAUUGAAUAACAUGGAUUUCUACAUUUAUUUUGCGACGCUCGCGCACGCGACGUGUCCGUUCUGAUCAGCAUGUCAGACUGAUAUCGCAGUGAUGUCAUGUUAUACUUUGUAAGUGAUAGUGCGGUAGUUAGGACACAGGAUUUGAAAAGCAUUCUUCUUAUAAAAAGUUGCUUGGGUGACAAGCUGUGGUUUGGUGUUUCUUCCCAGCCUCUUCCCAGCCUCCUCCCAGCCUAACAGGUUAAAGGUGAUGAGGAAGGGAUGUGGUAAGGCGAAGCCUUAAUGAUACCUUGCCAACUUCUAUGAAGAGUACAUACAGUGGUCAGUAAUGGGAACAGUCCAUGGUACAUUUGCAAAACAGACUUUUAACCCUGCUACUAUAACACAGGAAGAAGAGGGGAACUGCAAAAUAUUUAAUGGGAAGUUGACACAAUCGGUCAGUCAGUAUAUGCGUUCUGCUAAUUAUUUGAAGGGGUAGAAGAAAAAGGAGAAAUGGAAGUGCUGAGAGGAGUGAAAGAGCUCUGGGAGGAAUGUAAUGUUGGGCAACGGAUUCUUUCCAAAGUGGAUCGUGCCAAUAGUGAUUGGCCGUAUGAUAAUGGAUUUAUAGAGAUUAACGAAGCUUUAUUUUAAACAACAACAUUUUGGAUAUAGGGUUGUUUGUUGAACAGAAUUCUUCACUGAUAUUGUCAGAUACUACUGCACUAUUGGAGCUAGGAACACAAGCAUUUUGAUACACCCACAAUAACAUCUGCUAAAAAUAUGUGACCAAUAACAUUUGAUUUGAUUGGAUAUUACUUCACAUAAACUCCAUGUUUCUCUCUCACAUUAGCCUCAGAUCGUUUACAGUCAUUAAGGAACAAUGUUUGAAAUGAGGAAAAGCUGUGAGAAAUAGAAUCCUACUAUUGCAGCCAUUUGAAAGAGCACACUAUGCUGGCCCCUGGGGAAUUAUGGAAGGCUUUGACAUUAGGAUCCUUAUGUGGUUGAGAGUGGGACCCCAUCGAUAGCUCUCUGGUCCUGCUAACCAUGGUUGUGUGUGUGUGGGAGUGUGUGUGUCUGUGGGUGUGUGAUAUAACAACGUCUGACAGUGCCACCAAAGGGCUGAAUUAUCAAAUCAAAUCCAAUGUUAUUAGUCACAUGAGGGGGAAUAGGUUAAUGUCGUGCCCGCUUCAUGACUGUCAUGGUGUGCUUGGACCACGUUAGUGUUUUGGUGAUGUGGACACCAAGGAACUUGAAGCUCUCAACCUGCUCCACUACAGCCCUGUUGAUGAGAAUGGGGGCGUGCUCGGUCAUCCUUUUCCUGUAGUCCUCAAUCAUCUACUUUGUCUUGAUCACGUUGAGGGAGAGGAUGUUGUCCUGGCACCACACGCAAAAUCGGCAAAUUUAAUGAUGGUGAGUCGUGGAGUUUUGCCUGGCCGUGCAGUCAUGAGUGAACAGGGAGUACUGGAGGGGGCUGCGCACUCACCCCUGAGGGGCCCCUGUGUUGAGAAUCAGCGUGGCGGAUGUGUUGUUACCUACCCUUACCACCUGGGGGCGGCCCGUCAGGAAGUCCAGGAUCCAGUUACAGUGGGAGGUAUUUAGUCCCAGGGUCCUUAGCUUAUUGAUGAGCUUUGAGGGCACUAUGGUGUCGAAUGCUGAGCUGUAGUCAAUGAAUAGCAUUCUCACAUAGGUGUUCCUUUUGUCCAGGUGAGAAAGGGCAGUGUGGAGUGCAGUAGAGACUGCAUUAUAUGUGGAUCUGUUGGGGUGGUAUGCGAAUUGCAGUGGGUCUAGGGUUUCUGGGAUGAUGGUGUUGAUGUGAGCCAUGACCAGCCUUUCAAAGCACUUCAUGGCUACAGACGUGAGUGCUACGGGUUGGUAGUCAUUUAGGCACGAUACCUUCUGUUCUUGGGCACAAGCACUAUGGUGGUCUGCUUACAACAUGUUGGUAUUACAGACUCGGACAGGAAGAAGUUGAAAAUGUCAGUGAAGACACUUGCCAGUUGGUCAGCACAUGCUCGCAGUACACGUCCUGGUAAUCUGUCUGGCCCUGCGGCCUUGAGAAUGUUGACCUGUUUAAAGGUCUUACUCACAUCGGCUGCAGAGAGCGUGAUCACACAGUCUUCCGGAAUAGCUGGUGCUCUCAUGCAUGUUCCAGUGUUAUUUGCCUCAAAGCGAGGAUAGAAGUAGUUUAGCUCGUCCGGUAGGCUCAUGUCACUGGGCAGGUCUUGGCUGUGCUUCCCUUUGUAGUCUGUAAUGGUUUGCAAGCCCUGCCACAUCCGACGAGCGUCAGAGCCGCUAUAGUACGACUUGAUCUUAGUCCUGUAUUGUCACUUUGCCUCUCACUCUUUCCCUCACUUUCUCUCUCUUUUGCUCCCUUUGUAUAUUCUGUUUUCCUCCAUACUGACUACAUUGCUCACUCUCUUCCCCACUUUCUCAUCCUUCCCCUCCCCCUUUUUCCUACCGUUUCCAUCUCUAUGUCCUCCUCUCGCCUACUGUGUGUUGUCCUGUCUGUUCCUAUCCCCGAGCAUCCUGCAGGGAGGGGGACCAGGAAUCUGUUUGUUGACAGGAAGUUUGCGGAGGACUGCAAUUCUCGUUAAAGCAUCCCCACAGGUAGUGACAGGUACAUGUCAGGAUAGUUGCCCUCGUUCCCUUCUGGGAGCCCAAUGAAAGGACAUGUAAAACGCUGAGGGAGUGAUGAAACUGAUAGGUUGACAUUGGAUCUGAAGUGCAUCCAGUUUCCCCAUUCGCCCCUAGGGUUCCAUCUCUGUGCCCCCCUCUCUCCUACCGUUUCCAUAUCUGUGCCCUCCUCUCUCGUACCGUUUCCAUCUCUGUGCCUUCCUCUCUUCUACCGUUUCCAUCUCUGUGCCCUCGUCUCUCCUUCCGUUUCCAUGUCUGUGCCCUCCUCUCUCCUACCGUUUCCAUUUCUGUGGCAUCUGCUACAGUUUCCAUCUCUGUGCCCCCCUCUCUCCUACAGUUUCCAUCUCUGUGCCCCCCUCUCUCCUACAGUUUCCAUCUCUGUGCCCCCCUCUCUCCUACAGUUUCCAUCUCUGUGCCUCCCUCUCUCCUACAGUUUCCAUCUUGGGUUUUAAGUUUGUGAGACUUGCUGGCAUGAUAUAUGAUAAUAGAUAAACGUGAGAGAGUGUGUUUUCAUAUUGAAAUGCUGAAAAUGUAUGUAGUAAAAGCAGAAGGGAAGUUAACAUUCAAACAGGUAAGUAAACUGGUUCACCUGUUCCAGUAUCAAUCAUCAAUCUUCAGAAGUCAUUCAUUUGUAUUGAUUGAAACUUCCAGCACCCAACCAAACAAGAAAACAGCCUAAUGAUAGGUGUUCACAUUUGCAUUUAUUUAAUAACAAUGAACUUUGCAUGUGAUUUGUAUACAUGUGAUUUGUAUACAUGUGAUUUGUAUACAGGAUUUCAUACAGGAUUUCCGAUGGCAGUAUCGUCAUGGCCUUUCAGAUCAAAUAGUCUUGUGUGUGGGUGGUGAGACAUUAGCUACAGUUAGGAAAGAGACUGUUUGCUGAGUCACGGCUUAACCCUCAGCAAGAAAACCCGGGAAAAGUACAUUGCUUGGCAUGAGUUUGUCAUGGAAUGGAUAGCCUCGUCUGUGCCUCUGUGUGUGUGUGUGUGUGUGUGUGUGUGUGUGUGUGUGUGUGUGUGUGUGUGUGUGUGUGUGUGUGUGUGUGUGUGUGUGUGUGUGUGUGUGUGUGUGUGUGUGUGUGUGUGUGUGUGUGUGUGUGUGUGUGUGUGUGUGAGAAAUGUCUUCUUUGCCCAUAAACUCUUUAAUGGUGGGAAAAUGGUGAAUGGAUAGCCUCGUCUGUUUGGGCGUCAGUCAGUCCACCAUGACAUCUUUCUGGCCAGAGGUUGUUACGUAUGUAGCAGUGUACAGGAUUCUGCCUCAUCUACUGUACAUUUACGGGUGGUUUCCUGGACGCAGAUGAAGCCCAAUCCUGGACUAAAAGCAAGGUCGCGCGCACACAGCUAAGGGUCAGAUGGGGACAGACGAAUGCACACGGCUAAGGGUCAGAUGGGGACAGACGAAUGCACACGGCUAAGGUUCAGAUGGGGACAGACGAAUGUACACGGCUAAGGGUCAGUUGGGGACAGACGAAUGCACACGGCUAAGGUUCAGUUGGGGACAGACGAAUGCACACGGCUAAGGUUCAGUUGGGGACAGACGAAUGCACACGGCUAAGGUUCAGUUGGGGACAGACGAAUGCACACGGCUAAGGGUCAGAUGGGGACAGACGAAUGCACACGGCUAAGGUUCAGUUGGGGACAGACGAAUGCACACGGCUAAGGGUCAGUUGGGGACAGACGAAUGCACACGGCUAAGGUUCAGUUGGGGACAGACGAAUGCACACGGCUAAGGGUCAGAUGGGGACAGACGAAUGCACACGGCUAAGGUUCAGUUGGGGACAGACGAAUGCACACGGCUAAGGGUCAGUUGGGGACAGACGAAUGCACACGGCUAAGGUUCAGUUGGGGACAGACGAAUGCACACGGCUAAGGUUCAGUUGGGGACAGACGAAUGCACACGGCUAAGGGUCAGAUGGGGACAGACGAAUGCACAUGGCUAAGGUUCAGUUGGGGACAUACGAAUGCACACGGCUAAAGGACAGAUGGGGACAGACGAAUGCACACGGCUAAGGUUCAGUUGGGGACAGACGAAUGCACACGGCUAAGGGUCAGUUGGGGACAGACGAAUGCACACGGCUAAGGUUCAGUUGGGGACAGACGAAUGCACACGGCUAAGGGUCAGUUGGGGACAGACGAAUGCACACGGCUAAGGGUCAGUUGGGGACAGACGAAUGCACACGGCUAAAGGACAGAUGGGGACAGACGAAUGCACACGGCUAAGGUUCAGUUGGGGACAGACGAAUGCACACGGCUAAGGGUCAGUUGGGGACAGACGAAUGCACACGGCUAAGGUUCAGUUGGGGACAGACGAAUGCACACGGCUAAGGUUCAGUUGGGGACAGACGAAUGCACACAGCUAAAGGUCAGAUGGGGACAGACGAAUGCACACGGCUAAGGUUCAGUUGGGGACAGACGAAUGCACACGGCUAAGGGACAGAUGGGGACAGACGAAUGCACACGGCUAAGGGUCAGAUGGGGACAGACGAAUGCACGCGGCUAAGGUUCAGUUGGGGACAGACGAAUGCACACGGCUAAGGGUCAGUUGGGGACAGACGAAUGCACACGGCUAAGGUUCAGUUGGGGACAGACGAAUGCACAUGGCUAAGGGUCAGUUGGUGACAGACGAAUGCACACGGCUAAGGUUCAGUUGGGGACAGACGAAUGCACACGGCUAAGGGACAGAUGGGGACAGACGAAUGCACACGGCUAAGGGUCAGAUGGGGACAGACGAAUGCACGCGGCUAAGGUUCAGUUGGGGACAGACGAAUGCACACGGCUAAGGGUCAGUUGGGGACAGACGAAUGCACACGGCUAAGGUUCAGUUGGGGACAGACGAAUGCACACGGCUAAGGGUCAGUUGGGGACAGACGAAUGCAUACGGCUAAGGGUCAGUUGGGGACAGACGAAUGCACACAGCUAAGGUUCAGUUGAGGACAGACGAAUGCACACGGCUAAGGUUCAGUUGGGGACAGACGAAUGCACACGGCUAAGGUUCAGUUGGGGACAGACGAAUGCACACGGCUAAGGGUCAGAUGGGGACAGACGAAUGCACGCGGCUAAGGUUCAGUUGGGGACAGACGAAUGCACACGGCUAAGGGUCAGUUGGGGACAGACGAAUGCACACGGCUAAGGUUCAGUUGGGGACAGAUGAAUGCACACGGCUAAGGGUCAGUUGGGGACAGACGAA